UUGUGUUCCCACCUCCCCCCCCAAACUCCCAUAUAUAUGGUCUUUUUGCUCUGCCCACAGGGACUGCUGGACUGGUGAGUGCAUUUGUCUUCAAGAGUGGGCGGCCAGCAUUCUGCUGGCAUACAGAGAUAUUUAUUCCUUUAUGAAACUGCACACGAAGAGAGAUCCAUGAGGCUGUAUCAUUCUUCUUUGAUACCAUGCAGACCACAGCAGCAUGCUGCUUCAACCAAGCUGGGACCAGCCAGGUCUGUGAAGGCUCCGCAGCAGCAGAUACAAGAAUGCUGUAUGUAAAAACAGUUGCUUCAGAAAUCAAGCAAAUGGAACUUCCAAAGUCGUGCUACAAAGGAAUUGUAUGGAGGCCAUACUUCAGAUGUGUUACACUACUGACAGAUGAGUGGAGAGUGCAGAAUGCCCGUUCUAUUACUAGCUUCACAGCAGAAUUUUCUAUUCUUGCCAUAGCUAAAAACAUUUGUAUCCAUGUGAAGCCAUCCGUGCUGGAGACAGGGAACCUGGAAUGCUACAACUUUGUCUAUGGCUUGAAUAGAGUAAUUCAGUCAGGUGAUAAAGAGUUUUAUGUUUCAUUCAUCUUAUCUUUGGUAAUUCCAUGUGUUAUUUCAAAAUUAAGUUUUAACUGCACUGAAAAUGGAGAUAAAUGGAAGAGUUUGUGCAGAACGUAAGCUCAUUUUAGCUUAAAUUCUCACCUUUUUAUUUUUUGAGGAAUCAUAACUUGAAGAGUCUUUUGAGUUCAUUAAAUGCAUUUUCCUCUAGUUCAUCUCAGUUCUUUAUUUCUUAAGGAAGAAGUAGUUCUGGAAGACUUCUCACUACUCAGAAAGUCAGUCAUUGUAGAAUAAAGAUUUUUUUUAUUCUACA
rnacentral:lncRNA from 1 species